rnacentral:misc_RNA from 1 species
UUCUAUCCAGAUCCUUUGUA